rnacentral:rRNA from 1 species
GGGUGAGUAAUAUAUCGGAACGUACCUAGUAAUGGGGGAUAACUAUCCGAAAGGAUAGCUAAUACCGCAUACGCCCUGAGGGGGAAAGAGGGGGAUCGCAAGACCUCUCGUUAUUAGAGCGGCCGAUAUCAGAUUAGCUAGUUGGUGAGGUAAAGGCUCACCAAGGCCACGAUCUGUAGCGGGUCUUAGAGGACGAUCCGCCACACUGGAACUGAGACACGGUCCAGACUCCUACGGGAGGCAGCAGUGGGGAAUCUUGGACAAUGGGCGCAAGCCUGAUCCAGCAAUGCCGCGUGCGUGAAGAAGGCCUUCGGGUUGUAAAGCGCUUUUGUUCGGGAGGAAAUCCUAGUGGCUAAUAUCCAUUGGGGAUGACAGUACCGGAAGAAUAAGGACCGGCUAACUACGUGCCAGCAGCCGCGGUAAUACGUAGGGUCCAAGCGUUAAUCGGAAUUACUGGGCGUAAAGGGUGCGCAGGUGGUUGAUUAAGUGUGAUGUGAAAGCCCCGGGCUCAACCUGGGAAUUGCAUUGCAAACUGUUCAACUAGAGUAUGGCAGAGGGGGGUGGAAUUCCGCGUGUAGCAGUGAAAUGCGUAGAGAUGCGGAGGAACACCGAUGGCGAAGGCAACCCCCUGGGCUAAUACUGACACUCAUGCACGAAAGCGUGGGGAGCAAACAGGAUUAGAUACCCUGGUAGUCCACGCCCUAAACGAUGUCUACUAGUUGUUGGGGAAUUCGUUCCUUAGUAACGCAGCUAACGCGUGAAGUAGACCGCCUGGGGAGUAC